CGCCGAGCAAUCGGAGACAAAAAUUCCGGCUGUCAGCCGGCGUCAAACGCGCUAAUCGGGUGCGCAUUUAUUAAUACCUAUAUUUCCGUCAAUGAAUCCCUAUACUGUGAUAUUUGAAUUUCCAGCAGUAUUUUUACUCCGUCGAUUCCAGACAAAGCAAAAAGAAUAGCUUUGUUGGAUUAACGGUUUAGAUUUGAGAAUUUUGGUGACGUGCAUAUGGUGAUAUGGACAG